rnacentral:rRNA from 1 species
GACGAACGCUGGCGGCGUGCUUAACACAUGCAAGUCGAACGGAAAGGCCCUGCUUUUGUGGGGUGCUCGAGUGGCGAACGGGUGAGUAACACGUGAGUAACCUGCCCUUGACUUUGGGAUAACUUCAGGAAACUGGGGCUAAUACCGGAUAGGAGCUCCUGCUGCAUGGUGGGGGUUGGAAAGUUUCGGCGGUUGGGGAUGGACUCGCGGCUUAUCAGCUUGUUGGUGGGGUAGUGGCUUACCAAGGCUUUGACGGGUAGCCGGCCUGGGAGGUGGAACGGGGACCAUGGGACUAAGGUAGGGAGCAGUGGGCAAUCGGGGACAAUGGGCGGGAGUCUUGGCCAGCCGGGCGGAGUGUGUUGAGACGAUGUCCGGUGCGGGAAGCAGUUCUUGUGGGGAGGAACCGCAUUAAGCUGUUACCAAGCUGGAGUGACGGUAACGGGAGAAUAAGCACCGGCUAACUUCGUG